GAAAUAAGUAACUCAAAAAUAAGCUUCUAACUUAAUUUUUUAGCGAUGAAAUUCGUUAUUAUUUCU
rnacentral:tRNA from 1 species